AGAUUGAACGCUGGCGGCAGGCCUAACACAUGCAAGUCGAGCGGCAGCACGGGUACUUGUACCUGGUGGCGAGCGGCGGACGGGUGAGUAAUGCCUAGGAAUCUGCCUGGUAGUGGGGGAUAACGCUCGGAAACGGACGCUAAUACCGCAUACGUCCUACGGGAGAAAGCAGGGGACCUUCGGGCCUGGCGCGAUUGGAUGAGUCCAUGUCGGAUUAGCUAGUUGGCGGGGUAACGCCCACAAGGCGACGAUCCGUAGCUGGUCUGAGAGGUAUGAU
rnacentral:rRNA from 1 species